rnacentral:rRNA from 1 species
UGUCURCACCAGAAGUAGCUAGCCUAACCGCAAGGGGGGCGGUUACCACGGUGUGGUCAAUGACUGGGGUGAAGUCGUAACAAGGUAGCYGUAGGUGAACCUGCAGAAGGAUCA